AUUGAACGCUGGCGGAAUGCUUUACACAUGCAAGUCGAACGAUGAAGCCUAGCUUGCUAGGUCGAUUAGUGGCGAACGGGUGAGUAAUAUAUCGGAACGUAUCCAAUAAUGGGGGAUAACUAGUCGAAAGAUUGGCUAAUACCGCAUACGUCCUACGGGAGAAAGCUGGGGAUCGUAAGACCUGGCGUUAAUGGAGCGGCCGAUAUCUGAUUAGCUAGUUGGUGAGGUAAAGGCUCACCAAGGCGACGAUCAGUAGCUGGUCUGAGAGGACGACCAGCCACACUGGAACUGAGACACGGUCCAGACUCCUACGGGAUGCAGCAGUGGGGAAUGUUGGACAAUGGGCGAAAGCCUGAUCCAGCCAUUCCGCGUGAGUGAAGAAGGCCUUCGGGUUGUAAAGCUCUUUCGCAAGGGAAGAACACUUACUUAAUAACACUAAGUGAGGUUGACGGUACCUUGAUAAGAAGCACCGGCUAACUACGUGCCAGCCGCCGCGGUAAUAC
rnacentral:rRNA from 1 species